rnacentral:lncRNA from 1 species
CGUCUCCUACUUUAACUGCAUGACACUAAUAUCUCCGUCCAUGUUUUGGACAAACCUCAACUUUGUUGUCAUGUGGGGAGCCAUUAUUCUCCCGUCUCUCUUAGUUUUUGGAGGCGUAUGGUUAUGGAUGCUGCCAAGGUACCGGGAAAUGAGACAAAUACGCAGACGAGUCCGCAAUGACAAUAAUGUCGGAAUAAUUCAACUCUUGCGAAUAUCAGUCUAAUUUAUAUAUUAUAUUAUGUACUCUUUUCCAUUUUCUCUGUAUUAAUAUCUUUUAUUUUUGAAAGAAAAACACUAUGUAAUUGCUUUGGAUAAAUUUAAUAAAAAUAAGAUUACUUAUCCCGACAGAUAUUUUUGAAGUAUAGAUUGUUCAAAAUCGACUGAUUUCUAAAUGUGUCAAUAUUAUUAAUUUAACAUAAACAUAUAUAUAUAUAUAUAAUUUAUAUUUUUAUUAUAUAAUUACAUAUUUAUUAUUUUAUUUAUACAAUAAAAGAGUUAUUAAUUAAAAGAUGAAUUAAAAAACUAGAAAAUAAUAUAUUUAUUAAUUAAAAAUUAUUAUUUUUUAAAAUAACUUGAAAUAAAAAAUAUUUUAUUAUAUAAUAUAAUUUUUUUCACUUUUCAUCAAUAAUGAGAUCAAUUGUUUCGUUAAUAGAAUAGAAAACAGAUAGUUGCUUCCUAUUUCAGCAAUAUAAAUAGUUAUAAAUAGUUAUUCUAUACAAAUUAAAGAACUCUAUAAGCAAUAUUAUAAUGGUACCAUGUGUUUUUAUGUUUUUAAUUUUUAAUAUAAUUAAAAGAUGCAUUGUAUAACCUUUCUUAUAAUUAUUUAUGACUGAUUGAGUUUAAGUCACGAGUCUAACUUAAAACUAAUUGAGUUAAGAUUUAUUUAUGCUUUCAAUCAAUGUAUGAUUUUGAUAUUGCAACAGGUGUCCAGCUAUGUGGUGAGAUCUUGAAGGUGUGUCUUUGUAACGACUUGAGAAGCUUUUUGGAUUUUUUUCUUUUUCUUUUAGGUUUAUUAUUAGUAAAUUAAUGAAUUUUUGCUGCGAAAAAUUAGCUUAAAACUAAGUUCAAAAACAAAAUAUAAAAAUUAUAGGAAAUAUGUUAAUUUUAUACAACGAUAAUUAAUGACAUUGCAAUAUUACUUAACAACAUGAACAAUCCCCAUCAUCGUAUUGUCAUUCCCAAGUAAUGGCGUAUUCUCUGUACUGGAAAAUAUCCCUCCUAACGCCGGCCGAAAGUGGGUUGAAACAUUAUGCAGCUAAUUUGGUAAGAUAAUGGAUGUGUUUAUUGCAUCAAAAAGAAAUAGAAGAGGUCUUCGGUUUUUCUUUCGUUAGGUAUGGUAGGUUAGAAGAAGCAAAGAGAGCAUUGUGGAGUCUAGAUGGAAGGUGGUUCUCUAAUCCUAGAUUGACAGUCAGUAUGGCGAAGUUUAAACCUAGAGAUGCUUUGUGGAGGAAGGCAAAUGGGAGAGAGGUCAGACAACAAACAAUGAAUAUGGAAAGAAGAUGAGUUGAAGGAAAUACGGGAGCGCAUGUAGGGAAGAAUGCGAGUGAGAUUAUGGCAAAUAAUAAACAACAUGAAGAAAAUGACCCAAUAAAGUUGGACGAGAUGGUCGAAGAUUUAUGAAUUUCCAGAAAAGAUAAGAGACUAAAGUAGUAGAGGGAGCCAUUGAUGGAGAGAACUUGAAGUGGCUUGAAAAAUGUAUUGUGAGUGGAAUGAGAAACAAUGCUACUGUGGGGUUAUGGGGUGAUAAUGGAAUUUACAAAAUUGGAGUCAAAAUACUAUCGGGUAAUGAUUUGUAUGAAUUGAAAGCCAAUGAAUGGGGAGAUGUUUUGCAAGUGUUUCAGAAAGUUGAACGGUGGACAACAAAGAUGAAAGAUUAAGGUGGUUAUCCUGUUACGAGAUUGCAAUACAUGCUUGGUCUUCGAGGAGGAAGUAGUUAAACAACUUGCUGCUAUUGAAUAUUAUAAUUGGUUUGAUUUAUUAUUUUUGGUGCAAACAAUCAAUACUCAAACAGUCAAUUGACUGUCGGAUAGAUCACGUGCAAAACUAACCUAACAUUUGAGAAUUUAUCCAGAAGAAGAAACUUAUCCAAGUCCAGCCCCCCACAAGUUCCCAAUUGGCUCACUGGAAGGAUAAUAUAAUCUUAACCAUGGGACCACACUUAAGCCGGCGCCUAAAUGAUUAGACUCGUGGAAGAAACGGUGGGUAUUCUUUCACCCCAAUAACAUCACUACAAAUACACAAACCAUGUCUACCCAUUUUGCGGGCUACUUGUGAUAAAACAGGAGAACAAUGAAAAGAAGAGCAAAACAAAAUCCACACCUAAUAUAAUUUUUCCUAAAAACAAAGAAAACAAGUUUUGGGAUUAAACGAUUCAAUUCAUUUAGACUUCAACGUUAAUUAAAUUAUUAAACAUUCAAAUCUCAUUAAAUUAUGUAUAUGAUUUACAAAUUUAAUCUUCAUUAGAACUAUUUUGGAAGGGCUACGUAUAGCAUGGGAGAAGGGGUUUUGUCAAUUAGAGAUUAAAAGUGAUAAUACUCUUCUAAUGGAGACGAUUGUAGAGGGAGGAGCAAUUGAUGAAACUACACUCUAUUCAUCGAAUGAUGCAUCAAGAUUGGAAGAUUUGUCUUCGUCAUAUUCCAAGAACUCACAAUACAGUUGCUGGUCAUAUGACUAAGAUUAUGACGACAAGAUUCACUGAGAUCCAAGUAUUUGAAUAUCCAAGAUUAUGGGGAUAGGGGGUAAUUUACUAAAAAAAGCUCUUUUAUAUUAUUAUUAACCGAAAUGGCCUGACUUUUUGAUUAUUUAUCGGAAAGGGCCAUUUUCCGAUAAAUAAUCAAAAAGUCCGGCCAUUUCGAUAAAUAAUGCUAUAAAAGAGAUUGUUUUAGUAAAUUGCCCGGGGAUAGGGUCAAGACACAACUAAAUUAGUUUUUUAGCCCUCUGUAUAUUUAUCUAAGAAAAUUUUGAUAUAAAAUUUUCCACAUUUCAUAAUGAUCGAAGAAGUGUGAAAAAAAAAGUUGAUAAAAAGUUUAUAAUUAAAAAAUGUUCCAUAUGUUCGAUUAUUUACCUGAAAAUUCGAUAUGUUAUAUAAAAAUUUAGUUUAUGAUCAAUAUAUAUAUCAAGAAAAAAAAUUAAAAUUUUAAAAAAAAAUAUUGAUUAAAAAUAUCCACCAAAAUGAUAAGAAUGUACAUAAUUCAAAAUUUUAAGCAUCUUAUUUUUAAACUGAUAUUCCUAAGUAAAUUAUAUAUAUUAAAAUAUGUUUUUAAUACUGAUAUUUCUUAAUAAAUUUUUUUCUAAAUUAAAUAUUUUUUUCAAAAUUAUCUUAAAAUUUUUGAAACUUAUGUUUAUUUAUUGCUCGUGGAGAGAGCCAAAGGAUUCACAAAUAUCCUAUAAAGUAUAAUAAAAUAAUAAAAAAUAAAUAUAUAAAAAAACACAUGCCAAUACACAAAAUAUAUUAUCUAUUUUAUAACAUAAUGUUUAAAAUAAAUAUUUUAUGUUCUAAAAGUAAUACUAAAAAUAUAAAUUUUAGAGUAAAAUUUUUGAAAGCGAAGCUGGUCAACUUGCCUUAAAAAUAGUGAUUGGGAUUCAAGAUUUUGACGUCUGUUAUAGGCGGCCAUCAAUUUAUAUCCCUCGUCAAAUAUAGAUAUAUUAAUCAUUUUUUUUAAAUAUUCGAUAUUUAUAUUCAAUAUAAAUCUACCCUUGAGGGAUAAGCUUGUUUUAAAUCAGUUGAGGUUUCAAAUAAGGAUAGUCAUUUUGCAACUCUCCUAAUUUCUUCAUCAUUUAAAGAAAGAAACAAAAGCAUGGAUCCAAGCUUGAGAGAAGUAGCUGGAACAGGAGAUACUGAUGCCUUGUACGCUCUAAUUCGAAAGGAUCCGUACAUGUUGGAGCAUAUUGAUCAGAUUCCUUUCAUCGAUACUCCACUUCACAUAGCAGCAAAUGAAGGCCAAAUUAAGUUUGCAAUGGAGAUGAUGAACUUGAAGCCUUCGUUUGGUCGGAAGCUAAACCAAGACGGGUUUAGCCCCUUGCACUUGGCCUUAAAAAAUGGGCAUACCAAGCUAGUGCUUCGACUGUUGGAGACCGAUAAAGAUCUGGUUCGCGUCAAAGGAAGGGAAGGGAUGACCCCUUUCCAUUUUGCAGCUGCAGUGGGGAACUCUAAUCUUUUAUUCCAGUUCCUUGAAACUUGCCCUGAAUGCGUUGAGGAUGUCACGGUUCGUAACGAGACUGCAUUACAUCUUGCUCUGAAAAACGACCACACCGACGCUUUUAAUCUCUUACAUGGAUGGCUUCGAAAGAACCGUCGUGGAGGAGGCAAUGGUUUGGAAAGAAAGGUUGUGAAUUGGAGAGAUGAUGAUGACAACAGUGUGUUGCACAUUGCAGCUACAAGAAAACAACAUCAGGUAUAUAUGCAAUAUAAUAAUAAGUUGCGCUCCUUUGAUCAUUUUAUUAAUGACUAUUUAUAAUAUUCUACGCAGGCAGUACAACUGUUGUUGGAUUCCUUUUAUGGGUUAGAUGCAAACGCUAAGAACUCGGAAGGCUUGACAGCUCGAGAAAUCAUAGAAAGGGUUGAAAGACAGGGGUUGAACAUGAGUGGCGCCGAAGACGAUGAUACCACCACCGCCAAGAUUGAGCGCAUUAAGAAAAGAACUAGUAGGCCUGAAAGAGCAUUAAUAAAGUUGAUUCGUGCAAGGAAUGGGUUGUCGGAGAACAUGCUCAACGCAACACUGGUGGUAGCGGCGCUGGUCAUAACAGCAAUCUACCAGUCGUCUUUAAGCCCACCAAGAGGUCUUUGGCAAGGUGAUAACACUAUCCCCACCACCACCUCAAACCUUACUACGACUACUAAAUUUACCCUCUUUAACGACAAUUACAGUGAGUAUCGUUUUAAAUUUGUGUUGGGUGAAGAAACAAGGAAAACAGGUACAGCAGUCAUGAAUCCCAACUUGUUUUUAGGGUUUUGGUUUUUCAAUUUUAUAGCAUUUGGGCUUCCGGUUCUUCUAACCGUUUUGCUUUUAUCCAAUGUACCUAGUAUUCUUCUCAUCCCGCUGUAUUAUCUAUCCGUCUCCUACUUCAACUGCAUGACAAUAAUAUCUCCUUCCACGUUUUGGGCAAACCUCAACUUUGUUGUCAUGUGGACAGCCAUUAUUCUCCCGUUGCUCAUAGUUUUUAGAAGUGUAUGGUUAUCGAAGCGGCCAAAGUACAGGGAAAUCAGACAAUUACGCAGACUUUUCCACAAAUAGAAUAAUGUUGGAAUCACUCAAUGGUUGCGAAUGUCAAUGUAGUUUACAUGUUCUCUUAUGUUAUGUACUCUUUUUCCAUUUUCUCUGGAUUAAUAUCUUUUCUCUUGGGUAAAAAAAUUAUGUAAUUGCUUUGGAUAAAUUUAAUAAAUAAGAGUAAUUUUCCCAACAGAUAUCUUUGUCCUUUGCAACGAAAAGAAAAAACAAAGAAAAGCCAACCAUCCUAUUUUCUAAUUUUAAAAAAUAAUUUCCUGUUUCUGAAAAUAUCGAUUCUUUUUUUUUAAAGAUGUUUUCAAAAUAUUAUUCAGUCAAAGUUAAUGAAUUUCUCAACAAAUCGAUAAUGUUGUGGAAUUUGUUGCGGAAAGGAUCGAUUCGAGAACUCCGAUAUGACUACAAGUAAAUUGACCGAAACGAAAAAAUAAAGUGAACACAAGGAUUUACGUGGUUCGGCUUUAAUGCCUACGUCCACGGGCAGAGGCGAAAAGAAAUUUCACUAUAACAAGAUGAAGAUUACAAGUGUUUUACACUCAAGACACAACCCGAGAACCUCACAACUCUCAACCCCUAUAGAAAACCCGAAAGCUAAAAUCCUAGCUUUCAAAGAACAAGCUUUGCUCUCUCUUGGUUUGGGAUCAUCAAUAUGGCUAAUGAACCUCUCUAUUUAUAAGAGAGUUCAAGGACAUAAUUGUCCAAAACUUUGGCAAAGAUUUGUGGUUGAAAAUGGACACCAACAACCAUCCACUAAUCCACUACCACCAACAACCCACUACCAAUUUUAAGCCAUUUCUUAACAAAUCUCCACCUUGGCUUGAAAUUUACCAAGCUGAACAUCAUAGUGAACUGGAUCACCUCUUCCAAACGCCUCUCUGGCGCUAAUCAAUCCCGAAUACCUAUCAAGUCCAAGCAAUGCUUGAACUUAUAUGCAGGGAUCACCUUAGUUAACAUAUCUGCAGGAUUCUUCUCGGUAGCAACCUUGCUGAUAACAAUGUCACCUUGCGUAACAUGUUCCCGAACAAAAUGAUAUCUGACAUCAAUGUGUUUGGUCCGUUCAUGAAACAUCUGAUUUUUAGUCAGAUGUAUGGCACUCUGGCUAUCGCAAAAUACAACAGUGAAAUCCUGUUGUAAACCCAAACUGCUUACUAGACCUUUCAUCCACAAUGCUUCUUUCACUGCUUCUGCUAACGCCAUAUAUUCCGCCUCAGUCGUAGAUAAGGCUACGGUAGACUGUAACACAGCUUUCCAACUAAUGGCUCCUCCAGAAUAAGUGAAAACAUAACCCGUCAGAGAUCUUCUUUUGUCCAGAUCUCCAGCAUAAUCAGAGUCCGCAUAGCCCGUGACACUGCUAGUGCAGUCACUCUGAUCAUAUACCAAGCAUAAAUCUGCAGAACCUCUCAAGUACCUGAGAAUCCAUUUCACGGCCUGCCAGUGUUCCUUGCCAGGACAACUCAUGUAUCUGCUGACCACACUAACUGCAUGUGAAAUGUCUGGACGAGUGCAAACCAUUGCAUACAUCACGCUUCCAACUGCACUCGAGUAUGGAAUGUGAGACAUUUGCUGCUUUUCUUCAUCAGAUUGUGGUGACAACUCUGCAGAGAGUUUGAAAUGUGGUGCCAACGGAGUACUCACAGUUUUCGCUUUAUCCAUGCCGAAGCGUUGAAGAACCUUUUCAAUGUAGUUCUUCUGCGACACACGAAGCUUGCCCGCCUUGCGAUCUCUGUGAAUAUCCAUGCCCAAAAUUUUCUUGGCAGCACCCAGAUCCUUCAUCUCGAACUCACCACUCAACUGCGACUUUAACUUGUUGAUUUCCGACAUGUUUUUGGAAGCAAUUAACAUGUCAUCAACAUACAGCAACAAAUAAAUGUGCGAACCAUCUGAGAGCUUCCGAUGAUAGACACAAGCAUCAUAGUCACAUCUUGUGUAACCAUGCUGAAUCAUGAAGCUAUCAAACCGCUUGUACCACUGCCUUGGGGAUUGUUUCAAUCCAUAUAAAGACUUCUUUAAUAGACAGACAUGGUCUUCUUUACCAGGAACUGUAAAACCCUCUGGUUGACGCAUGUAGAUUGUUUCCUCGAGCUCACCAUGCAAGAACGCCGUUUUUACGUCAAGCUGCUCAAGUUCUAGAUCAGACUUGGCCACCAUGGCAAGUAAUACACGAAUGGAAGAAUGCUUUACGACUGGGGAGAAAACUUCAUUGUAGUCAAUCCCCUCUUUCUGAGUGAAGCCUUUAGCAACCAAUCGUGCCUUGAAUCUAGUUGCUUCAACCCCUAGGAUGCCUUCCUUUUUCUUGAAGACCCAUUUGCAACCAACUAUCUUCUGGUUACUUGGCGGCUUAACCAACUCCCAAGUAUGGUUCUUGUGAAGAGAUUCUAUCUCCUCACUCAUAGCAAUUGCCCACUGUGCCGACUCAUCACACGUGACAGCCUCAUUAUAACUGGAAGGUUCUAUACCAAUGGACUCCGCCACACUGAGCGCGAAAGACACCAGAUUAGCGUAACGCGGAUUUGGUUUGAUUUGUCUCUUCGUUCUUCCAGUGGCAAUGCUAUAUGGUUUUUCUUGAGGUGACUCAUCUUCAUCGGAAUCUUGCACCUCAACUUGAUCAUCCUGGACUGAAGUACCUUCCGUAGGAAUUGGAGCGUCCACCUGACACUCCACCUGCUUCUCAACACCGUGAUCUCCCAUUCUAUCUGACUCCUCCUUUUCCCGGGAAUUUGUGGUGGAUCGAAGCAUGGAUGACUCAUCAAAAGUCACAUCUCUGCUGAUGAUGAACUUGGACGAAACCGGAUCAGGACACCACAACCUGUAUCCUUUCACCCCUUGGCCGUAUCCAAGAAAUAUGCAUUUCUUCGCCCUCGGUUUGAGUUUUCCCUCAUUUACAUGAGCAUACGCAGGGCAGCCAAACACUCUUAAACCAGAGUAAUCAGCAGGAGAACCAGACCAUACUUCCUCAGGAGUCUUCAGCUCAAUAGCUGUUGACGGAGAUCUGUUAACCAAAUAACAAGCAGUAUUAACAGCUUCAGCCCAAAAUUCUUCACCGAGCCCAGCAUUUGAUCGCAUGCAACGAGCUCGCUCCAAGAGAGUUCUAUUCAUGCGUUCUGCAACUCCAUUUUGUUGUGGUGUUCGACGAACAGUGCGGUGUCUCACUAUUCCUUCAUUUUUGCAGAACUCAUUGAAUUCACCUGAGCAAAACUCCAAGCCAUUAUCCGUCCGGAAUCGCUUGAUCUUCUUUCCUGUUUGAUUUUCGAUCAAAGCUUUAAAUUGCUUGAAGUUGAUGAGAACCUCAUACUUGCUCUUCAGAAAAUACACCCAAACCUUUCUCGAGUAAUCAUCGAUAAAGGUAAGCAGAUAUCUGUAACCACCUUUAGAAAUUGUCGGAGAAGGCCCCCAAAGGUCAGAAUGGAAGUAAUCCACUGUGCCUUUUGUCUUGUGAAUCCCAGUGCUGAACUUUACCCGAGUCUGCUUACCGAAGACGCAGUGCUCACAGAAAUUCAACUUUCCUGUACACUGCCCAGACAAUAAUCCUCGUUUGCUUAGCACCGAUAAGCCUCUCUCGCUCAUAUGCCCGAGCCGCAUAUGCCAUAACUUCGUGGUGUCAGAAUCUAGAUCAUCUGAUGAUGACACUCCCGCAACACCUGUAACCGAGGAACCAUCGAGGAAGUAAAGGCCCCGCUCCAAAUUACCACGUAUCACAGUCAAAGCACCCGAGAAUACCUUGAGAACUCCACCUUCAGCAGAGUACCGAAAGCCUUUCUUGUCCAACGUACUCAAAGAGAUCAAAUUUUUCUUCAUUUCUGGAAUGUGCCGAACAUCAGUUAGAGUUCUAACAAUACCGUCAAACAUCUUUAUACGAACUGUGCCAAUCCCCAUGACUUGACAUGCGUGGUCAUUUCCCAUUAGUACUGAACCAGAAUGCUUCUCGUAUGUUGAGAAUGCAUCUUUCGAAGUACUUAUAUGAAAUGUAGCUCCCGUAUCAAGAAUCCAUCUCCCACCAGCGUAAGAGUCGGAUACUGCAAGAACGAUCUCGGCAUCACUUGAAGAAUCUGCAUCAGCUACAUUCGCACGAUCAUUUUGUUGCUCCUGUGAUUCUGAUUUCUCCUUCCUUUUCGGACAAUCUACCUUCAUGUGCCCGUACUUCUUACAGUAGUAGCACUGUAUUCUCUUCUUGGACUGCGAUCUAGGAUGGCUUUUACUUGAACUUCCACCCUUUGCCUUGGAUCUUCCUCGAGCAACCAAGCCUUCGCCUUCAUUGUUUUCGACCACCUUACCAGUGAUUUUCUUCCUCAACUCACUGGAACUUAAGGCAUUUUUCACCUCCUCUAGAGUCAGGUCAUCACGACCGUACAUCAUUGUAUCAACAAAAUUCUCAUACGAGGGAGGCAAAGAACACAAAACAAUUAUUGCUUGGUCCUCAUCAUCGAUUUUGUUAUCGAUAUUAUUCAAAUCCAUGAUAAUGGAAUUGAAUUUAUCCAGGUGCUGGGAAACAGGUGUACCUUCCUCCAUCUUCAGGGCAUAGAGUCUUUGCUUGAGGUAGAGCCGGUUCGUCAAUGACUUCGUCAUGUACUUGCUCUCUAACCGGAGCCACAAACCGGACGCGGUUUUCUCAUCCGCUACUUCUCGUAGCACUUCAUCUCCUAGACAUAGCAGAAUAGCACUAUGUGCUCUUUCUAGCAUGUCAUCCUUUUGCUCUUCCGAAAGCGUGCUUGGUAAUUUAUCUUUACCAGACAAUGCUUUUAGCAAUCCUUGUUGAACCAGCACUGCCCGCAUCUUGAUGCGCCAUAAACUGAAACUAUUUUUCCCGGUAAAUUUCUCGACAUCAUACUUAGUCGAUGAAACACUUGUAGCCAUAAUUUGGAACCUUUGAAUGAAUGAUAAUAUUUUCUUCCUGAUGUGAAAGAUCAGACAAAGCUGCAGUCACAGGGCAAUUCAGAAAAUAUUAUCACUCCUUCAACUACGCUCUGAUACCAAUUUGUUGCGGAAAGGAUCGAUUCGAGAACUCCGAUAUGACUACAAGUAAAUUGACCGAAACGAAAAAAUAAAGUGAACACAAGGAUUUACGUGGUUCGGCUUUAAUGCCUACGUCCACGGGCAGAGGCGAAAAGAAAUUUCACUAUAACAAGAUGAAGAUUACAAGUGUUUUACACUCAAGACACAACCCGAGAACCUCACAACUCUCAACCCCUAUAGAAAACCCGAAAGCUAAAAUCCUAGCUUUCAAAGAACAAGCUUUGCUCUCUCUUGGUUUGGGAUCAUCAAUAUGGCUAAUGAACCUCUCUAUUUAUAAGAGAGUUCAAGGACAUAAUUGUCCAAAACUUUGGCAAAGAUUUGUGGUUGAAAAUGGACACCAACAACCAUCCACUAAUCCACUACCACCAACAACCCACUACCAAUUUUAAGCCAUUUCUUAACAGAAUUAAAUCUGAAUAUUACAUAAAAAGAUGACAAUACAUUUUUUCGAUUUAAUAUUCAAGCCAAAUAACAUGCAACUUUGAUAGAGAUAAUGAACAGUAAACCUCAUAAGGGUUCUAAGAAGUCCUUUUAUGCUUGCCUUUCCAGACUACACCGCUUUGGAGCCCAAUAUGGCUCAUUCUCUUUGUCUGCAUAGUCAGCUUUUGUGCUUGCUUGAGUUUUGCGGUUUCAGGUCCUUUUCACUUCUACAAGCAUUAAGAUUGUCUACACUAGAUCACAUUCAUGUAAUUUGGGCUCACAAUGAACCUGGUUUUGUCUGGACUCAUUGCUAUGUGUUUAAGUUAGACUUGGACCUUUCAUUUUUUUUUAUAUGAAAAUUGAUUGCUCGGGAAUUUUGUUAAACCAAACUAUGUCAAUUUUACCUUAAAAAAAACAUGUUAAUUUUGUACACGUCCUUGUACUAUUAUAGUAUGAAAUAUAUUUUUCUUUCAAAUGAGAAAACAAGUAAUAUGAAUUUUUUUUUUGUAAUAAUUGAAUUAAACUGUUAAAUGCGACGGUUCAAAUUAAGCAACAAUGAGUUAGGUAAACUUGUCAUUAUUUAAAUUAAUAUCUAUCAUUUAAUUAAGCCCCCUUAUAAAAUUAUUUUCCUUUACAAUUCUUAUGAAAUCAAAAAAAAAAAAAUUUUUGCAGGACUGAGAUAAAAUUAUAAAAUUUUAGGAAGAUCAAUGUUAUUUUUUUUUGCUUAAAUUAAAUUAUUAAAUUUUUAGAACGGCGAAAAAUUAAAAAUUUUCCAUUAAUCAAAAAGGUUUUAAAAAAAAACUUAAAUGAAAUAAUUGGUCCUUGUAGUCUCAAUUUCUAAGGACCUUUGGGCUGAAUUUAAGAGUACAAGAACCAAAAUGCACUCCUCUCAAUUGAAUAUUAUAAUUGGUUUGAUUUAUUAUUUUUGGUGCAAACAAUCAACACUCAAACAGUCAAUACCGUCCGAUAGAUCACGUGGAAAACCAUCCUAACAUAUGAGAAUAUAUCCAGAAGAAGAAACUUAUCCAAAUCCAACCCACCACAAGUUGUCAACCAGCUCAUCCCAUUGGCCUUUCCACACCUUCGAACUGAUUGGUGCAAUCCGAGCUGGUCCUAUUAUUGGAAAGAGAAUAGAAUCUUAACCGUGGGACCACACUUAAGCCGGCGUCCUAAAUGAUUAGACGCGUGAAAAAACGGUGGGUAUUCUUUCACCCAAUACCAUCACUACAAAUACACAAACCAUGUCUACCCAUACUCUGGGCUAUUUGUGAUAAAACAGGAAAACAAUGAAAAAUAAUAAUAUAAAGAAGAGAAAACAUUCAAAUCUCGUUAAAUUCAUGAACAAAAUUGGUUGUGGGGUUCUCAAUGUUGCUAAGUAAAGACGGAGUUUUUAAUAUUGAUGCGAGAGCUAUUUUAGAAGGGUUAUGUUAGAGAUUGAGAGUAAUAACACUCUUUUGAUGGGAUGAUUGUAGAGGGAGGAGCAGCUAAUAGUUAGUUAAUAGAAUUACAUUCUAUUCAUCGAAUGAUGCGUCGAGAUUGGAAGAUUUGUUUUCGUCAUAUCCCAAGAACUCACAAUACAAUUGCUGAUCAUAUUACUAAGGUUAUGACGAUAAAAUUCACUGAAGUCUUAUUUUGUACAACAUUUAAUAUAAACAGAUUACAUUAGUAUUACAUAGGCUAAUACGUUAUCUUAAUAGUAUCGCGUACAGCUAUUUUAAUUUACCAAAUAAUAAUAAUAAUGGAGCCCAUGCUUUUUGAAUCUUUUCUAUGUCACAGCUAUGGAGAUGGGUCAAGACACAACUAUCCUUUUUUUAGGUCAAAUAAAUCUCAAUUAGUUUUUUAAGCCCUCUGUAUAUAUAUAUUUAUCUAAUAAAAUUUUCCACGUUUCAUAAUGAUCGAAGAAGUGUAAAGCAAAAGUUUAUAAAAAGUUUAUAAUUAAAAAAUAUUCCAUAUCUUCGAGUAUUUAACUGAAAAGUUGAUAUGUUUAUAAAAAUUUAUUUUAUGAUCAAUAUAUAUCAAGAAAAAAAUUUUAAUUUCAAAAAAAUAUUGAUUAAAAAUAUCCACCAAAAUGAUAAGAAUGUACAUAAUUCAAAAUUUUAAACAUCUUAUUUUUAAACUGAUAUUCCUAAGUAAAUUAUAUAUCUUAAAAUAUGUUUUUAAUACUGAUAUUUCUUAAUAAAUUUGUUUCUAAAUUAAAUAUUAUUUUUCUAAAAUUAUCUUAAAAUUUUUGAUACGUGAAAAAAGUUCGACAAAAUAUAGUAAAAUAUUAAAAAAUAAAUAUUAAAAAAAACACAUACCAAUACACAAAAUAUAUUUUAUAACAUGUUAUUUAAAAUAAAUAUUUUAUUUUCUAAAAGUAUUUUUUUUGCCACAAUACUAAAAAUAUAAAUUUUAGAGUAAAAUAUUUGAAAGCUAAGCUGGUCAACUUGCCUUGAAACAAGUGGGGAAAAUGCGUCCAAAUUAUAUUGAAGUGAGAAACAGGGAGUGGGUUUCAAGAUUUUGAAGUCUAUGAUUGGCGGCCAUCGAUUUAUAUCCCUCGUCAAAUCUAUAUUUUAAAAAUGAUUAAAAAUAUUCGAUAUUUAUAUUCAAUAUAAAUCUACCCUUGACGGAGCUUGUUUUAAAUCAGUUGAGGUUUCAAAUAAGGAUAGUCAUUUUGCAACUCUCCUAAUUUCUUCAUCAUUUAAAGAAAGAAACAAAAGCAUGGAUCCAAGCUUGAGAGAAGUAGCUGGAACAGGAGAUACUAAUGCCUUGUACGCUCUAAUUCGAAAGGAUCCGUACAUGUUGGAGCGUAUUGAUCAGAUUCCUUUCAUCGAUACUCCACUUCACAUAGCAGCAAAUGAAGGCCAAAUUAAGUUUGCAAUGGAGAUGAUAAACUUGAAGCCUUCGUUUGGUCGGAAGCUAGACCAAGACGGCUUUAGCCCCAUGCAUUUGGCCUUCAAAAUGGGGCAUACCAAGCUAGUGCUUCGACUGUUGAAGACCGAUAAAGACCUGGUUCGCGUCAGAGGAAGGGAAGGGAUGACCCCUUUCCAUUGUGCAGCUGCAGUGGGGAACUCUAAUCUUUUAUUCCAGUUCCUUGAAACUUGCCCUGAAUGUGUUGAGGAUGUCACGGUUCGUAACGAGACUGCAUUACAUCUUGCUCUGAAAAACAACCACACCGACGCUUUUAAUCUCUUACAUGGAUGGCUUCGAAAGAACCGUCGUGGAGGAGGCAAGGAUUUGGAAAGAAAGGUUGUGAAUUGGAGAGAUGAUGAUGACAACACUGUGUUGCACAUUGCAGCUACAAAGCAACAGCAUCAGGUAUAUAUGCAAUAUAAUGAUAAGUUGCGUUCCUUUGAUCAUUUUAUUAAUGACUAUUUAUAAUAUUCUACGCAGGCAGUACAACUGUUGUUGGAUUCCUUUUAUGGGUUAGAUGCAAACGCUAAGAACUCGGAAGGCUUGACAGCUCGAGAAAUCAUAGAAAGGGUUGAAAGACAGGGGUUGAACAUGAGUGGCGCCGAAGACGAUGAUACCACCACCGCCAAGAUUGAGCGCAUUAAGAAAAGAACCAGUAGGUCUGAAAGAGCAUUAAUAAAGUUGAUUCGUGCAAGGAAUGGGUUGUCGGAGAACAUGCUCAACGCAACACUGGUGGUAGCGGCGCUGGUCAUAACAGCAAUCUACCAGUCAUCUUUAAGCCCACCAAGAGGUCUUUGGCAAGGUGAUAACACUAUCCCCACCAACACCACAAACCUUACUACGACUACUAAAUUUACACUCUUUCACGACAAUUACAGUGAGUAUCGUACUAGAGUUGUGUUCGGUGAACAAACAAAGGAAACUGGUACAGCAGUCAUGAAUCCCAACUUGUUUUUAGCGUUUUGGUUUUUCAAUUUUAUAGCAUUUGGGCUUCCAAUUCUUCUAACCGUUUUGCUUUUAUCCAAUGUACCUAGUAUUCUUCUCAUCCCGCUUUAUUAUCUAUCCGUCUCCUACUUCAACUGCAUGACAAUAAUAUCUCCUUCCACGUUUUGG